rnacentral:misc_RNA from 1 species
GGACUGAUAUUACACAGCAAUGAAAUGACGUAUUCAUGACGUAAUAUUCCAUACCCGUGUGUGUAACGUGAAGCCAUCUCCUUCCUAGAGAAAAAACAGUUGUCCCGUCUCUUACUUUUUGUGUGAGGUGUCAAUAUUUUUACGAGUGCUUACAAUUGUUACAUAUUACUUUUUGUGCACUUAUGACCUAUAUUUGUGUAUAGGUUAUUUUUUCAAGAGAUUUUACGCUCAUGUUACUUUUAAUAAAUGAAUUUU